rnacentral:rRNA from 1 species
UAGAAUUCCACGUGUAGCGGUGAAAUGCGUAGAGAUGUGGAGGAAUACCGGUGGCGAAGGCGGCCUUCUGGACAGAUACUGACGCUGAGAUGCGAAAGCGUGGGGAGCAAACAGGAUUAGAUACCCUGGUAGUCCACGCUGUAAACGAUGUCGAUUUGGAGUUUGUUGCCUAGAGUGAUGGGCUCCGAAGCUAACGCGAUAAAUCGACCGCCUGGGGAGUACGGCCGCAAGGUUAAAACUCAAAUGAAUUGACGGGGGCCCGCACAAGCGGUGGAGCAUGUGGUUUAAUUCGAUGCAACGCGAAGAACCUUACCUGGUCUUGACAUCCACAGAAUCCUGCAGAGAUGCGAGAGUGCCUUCGGGAACUGUGAGACAGGUGCUGCAUGGCUGUCGUCAGCUCGUGUUGUGAAAUGUUGGGUUAAGUCCCGCAACGAGCGCAACCCUUAUCCUUUGUUGCCAGCGAUUCGGUCGGGAACUCAAAGGAGACUGCCGUUGAUAAAGCGGAGGAAGGUGGGGACGACGUCAAGUCAUCAUGGCCCUUACGACCAGGGCUACACACGUGCUACAAUGGCGUAUACAAAGGGAGGCGACCUCGCGAGAGCAAGCGGACCUCAUAAAGUACGUCUAAGUCCGGAUUGGAGUCUGCAACUCGACUCCAUGAAGUCGGAAUCGCUAGUAAUCGUGAAUCAGAAUGU